rnacentral:miRNA from 1 species
AGGAAUGUUAUUGCGUCUUCGAUU